GGCAUGAUGAAGUGAGGAGGGAAAUGGGUCUAGCAUAUGUACCAAGUCUCUUUCUAGAGCACACUUCAACGAAGUCAGAAGCUGCAACAAGAGCUUCUGUCCCAAGAAAGUCGCUCCGUGGAUUAGUACAGUCACUAUUUAGCAGAAGGCGUGUCUCUAUAGAAAACACAACAUCCAAAUGCAUACACAGACGAACCCAUUACAUCUAUAAAUAGUAUAUCUCGACGAACCCACUAGACAACCAUUUCCGGAGAUGACCACCAUUGUUACGAUUACCAAACUGCAAAACGAGGACUUGGGUGGUGCAUGCGGUCACCUUUGCAUUGCCCAUAUAUCUCCUGCAGCAUCGGGAAAAGAGCUCCCUUUCCUGCUUGACAGUGGAAAUGGGAGAUCUUCCUCUUCCCGAGGCAACAUGUUUUACUCUCGCAAUAAGAAAAAAUAGCUCUUUUAUAAUUUAUAUAAACCCUUUUGAAUUACGGACAUAUCAAGCUCCCUGCUUCCGAUCUGCAACCUUGGGUGUACUUGCGGCGGCUCCUCCUUUCGCGGGGCUGCGAGAAGACCCACGUGCUCCGGUGGACGAGGGUUGAGAUGGUCGAGGCGGGUCGACAGGAGGGGAGGUGACGGAAGUCGUCGUGAGGGGACGUGGCCCGUGGGGCACCGGCGCUGAUUACCGGCUUGCGUUCUGCUACUGGGGCAUCUUCGACGAAGAGCUACUUGCUGAACGGGGGGAGUGGAACGAGCUGGUUCGUCGAGGGACGAGGGGUUGGAGCUGGAGAGCUUUUUCAGGAAUCCACCAUCGGCGCUGGCUUCUUUUCUCAAGCUUUGGCCGUAAAUGAUGCAACUGUAAAGUUUGAGAUCUGGGAUACAGCUGGUCAAUAGAAAUACCACAGCUUGGCACCUAUGUACUAUAGAGGAGCUGCCAUUUUGUGUAACAUGACAAACCUGGCUUCUAUUUGAAGGUGAUCUGAUUGUGUGUAUGACAUAACAUAUGAUGGGUUCAAAUAUGGUUUUAUUUCUCUGCAUUGUUGAAGAUCUAUUCAGGCAUCAUUUGAGCGAGCAAAAAGUGGGUGCAAGAACUUCAAGCACAGGUUAGUGAUUUAAUCCUUUUUCUUAACUUCUGUGUUAUAGUUAUUUGUUUGGCUUUGCUGUUGGCAUUCACUUUUAUUUAUGUUUUGUGGAUUCUAAGUAGGUAGAAUUUUUAAACUUCUUGAUCUCAGAUAUGCUAUCUACUUUUAGUUCUCCUUCUCAUGUGUUAAAAGAGACAUUUCUUUUUAUAUUUACUAUGACCUUGCGGUGCAGGUAUGCACGAUCAUUUUGUAAUUUUUUGUGGAGAUGUUUGGAUGGGACCUCCUUAUCUUUCUUCAGCAAGAUCCUUAUAUAAUCUUACAAUAGUUUCAUGGUUAGUUUUGAGCUAACUAGUUGUCUCCAUUCUUGUCAAAGGUAAACCUAACAUGGUUAUGGAUCUCGCUGGAAAUAAAACAGAGUUGUUGGAUGCCCAGAAGGUUACAGCUGAGAAGGAAAGUGCAAUUUCAUUGAGGUAGCAAUAAGGGGGUGCCUACCUCAGUGUCCGCUAGAUGCAGGAUAUCUACCUCUUCCAAUCACAUGCAUUGUUUGGAGAAGAAAUCAAUUGGGAAGAACCAAGACUUCUUUUAAUUCACUGUCUACUCAUGAUCAAGCUCCUAUUCCUCUCCCUUCUCUGUAGCCAAAAUGUCGUAAGAGGUAUCUUUGUGGAUACUUGUGUUUGUC